rnacentral:rRNA from 1 species
CCUACGGGCGGCAGCAGUGAGGAAUAUUGGUCAAUGGGCGGGAGCCUGAACCAGCCAAGUCGCGUGAGGGAAGACGGUCCUAUGGAUUGUAAACCUCUUUAGGCGGGGAGCAAUGCCGGGCACGCGUGCCCGGAGGGAGAGUACCCGCAGAAUAAGCCUCGGCUAACUCCGUGCCAGCAGCCGCGGUAAUACGGAGGGUGCGAGCGUUAUCCGGAUUUAUUGGGUUGAAAGGGUGCGGAGGCGGAUUUUUAAGUCAGCGGUAAAAUGUCCGGGCUCAACCCGGGCCGGCCGUUGAAACGGGGGAUCUUGAGUGGGCGAGAAGUAUGCGGAAUGCGUGGUGUAGCGGUGAAAUGCAUAGAUAUCACGCAGAACUCCGAUUGCGAAGGCAGCCGUCCGGCGCCCUACUGACGCUGAGGCACGAAAGUGCGGGGAUCGAACAGGAUUAGAUACCCUUGUAGUC